GGGUCAGUAGGUUGGUCGUGCCACCGGUACGUACUGGUCUCACUGAUUCCUCCUUCCUGAAGAACCGUAAUGCCAUUAAUUUGGUGUUGCGGGAAACAGGACUGUUACUUUGAAAAAAUUAGAGUGUUUAAAGCAAGCUAACGCUUGAAUACAUUAGCAUGGAAUAAUGAAAUAGGACGAUCGAUCCCAUUUUGUUGGUUUCUAGGAUUGACGUA
rnacentral:rRNA from 1 species